UAAAAUAAAAAACCUCAAAAAAAACCCAAAAGAAAGAAAGAAUUUAUAGUAAUGAGCAGCUUUGCUUUUUCCCUUAAAAUUCCACCGUUGCUUACACUAACUGCGCCUCCUUCUACUAAGGUUCUGAUAAACACCAAUUUCUCACCUUUUUUCUUCAAUACCUGUAAGCUUCUUAUCUCACUUUCUUGAAAUUAUUUGUUUAUUUAUUUAUAUAUUUUUCUUUUUGGUUGAUGAAAAAGGGGAUAAUGUUACUGUUAAUUGCUAAAGAUUGAUGCUUUUAGCUAUUUGGGAGGUGGGUUUUUCUUGAAUUGAGUGGUUAGUAAUUGAGAUAAAAGUAUGAAUGCAAUUUACUUGUAGUUAGUAAGCUUGUAAUCUCAGUUUCAUGAUGUUUUAUUUAUUCAUUUAUUUAUUGGUUGAUGAAAAAGGGGAUAAUAUUAUUGUUAAUUAUUAAAGAUUGAUGCUUUUAGCUAUUUGGGAGGUGGGUUUUUCUUGAAUUGAGUGGUUAGUAAUUGAGAUAAAAGUAUGAAUGCAAUUUACUUGUAGUUAGUAAGCUUGUAAUCUCAUUUUGUAUUUUGUAUUUUGGUUGAAGAAAAGGGGAAUAAUGUUAUUGUGAUUGUUAAUAUGAAAAAUUGAUGCUUUUAGCUAUAUGGUAGGUGGGUUUUUGUUUUUCNNNNN
rnacentral:lncRNA from 1 species